ensembl:snRNA U2 U2 spliceosomal RNA
AUCACUUCUCGGCCUUUUGGCUAAGAUCAAGUGUAGUAUUUUUGAAAAGUAAUUGUAGGUCAUAAAAAUGAAAAUUAAA